CAGCGAAAUGCGAUAAGUAAUGUGAAUUGCAGAAUUCAGUGAAUCAUCGAAUCUUUGAACGCACCUUGCGCUCCUUGGUAUUCCGAGGAGCAUGCCUGUUUGAGUGUCAUUUAAUUCUCAACCUUUAUUUAUUAGCUGUUGCUGAUAAAAAAGAGGCUUGGACAUGGGGGUUUUCUUUUGCUGGCUCCUUUUAGAGGUCGGCUCCCCUUAAAUGCAUUAGCUGGUGCCCCGCGUGGGACUGUCUAUUGGUGUGAUAAUUAUCUACGCCAUGGAUGUCUGCAAUGGGUUUGCACUGCUUCUAACCGUCUGUUCCUUAGGACAAUACAUGACAAUUUGACCUCAAAUCAGGUAGGACUACCCGCUGAACUUAAGCAUAUCAAUAAGCGGAGGAAAAGAAACU
rnacentral:rRNA from 1 species